CUACGGGCCGCUCCAGUAAGGAAUAUUGCGCAAUGGAUGCCCCUCUUCCUCCUCCCUGCCGCGUGCAGGAAGAAGGCCUUAUGGGUCGUAAACUGCUUUUAUUUAGGAAUAAACCCUCGCUCGUGAGCGAGGCUGAAGGUACUGAAUGAAUAAGCACCGGCUAACUCCGUGCCAGCAGCCGCGGUAAUACGGAGGGUGCAAGCGUUAUCCGGAUUUAUUGGGUUUAAAGGGUGCGCAGGCGGGCUAUUAAGUCAGUGGUGAAAUCCCGGGGCUCAACUCCGGAACUGCCAUUGAUACUGAUAGUCUUGAGUUUGGUUGAAGUGGGCGGAAUGUAGCAUGUAGCGGUGAAAUGCAUAGAUAUGCUACAGAACACCAAUCGCGAAGGCAGCUCACUAAGCCAAAACUGACGCUCAUGCACGAAAGCGUGGGGAUCAAACAGGAUUAGAUACCCUCGUAGUC
rnacentral:rRNA from 1 species